GCAAACUUGGUCAUUUAGAGGAAGUAAAAGUCGUAACAAGGUUUCCGUAGGUGAACCUGCGGAAGGAUCAUUAAUGAAGCAUGUCGUGAAGGGUUGUUGCUGGGUUCCUUCCCAAUCACAGGGAAAAAAAGGGGACCAUGUGCACACCUGGAACGUUCAUCCUAUAUCUUAUCCCCUGUGCACACCCUGUGGGGCCUAAAUGCUUUGGGCCCCACUUCUUUUUCAUUCACUCUUGUACCUGUCACUUUGGAAUGUCUACCAUUAUUGGAAAUAAAACAACUUUCAGCAACGGAUCUCUUGGCUCUCGCAUCGAUGAAGAACGCAGC
rnacentral:misc_RNA from 1 species